UUUUGAUCUACUUGUACUGUAAAAACAUA
rnacentral:sRNA from 1 species